GGCAGACCUAGGAGAUCGAGAGGCCAUCGAGGAAUGUCUCGCUUCAGAUCUUCAUCCGGUGAGUAUGACAACUCCCCGUUCUUUCCCAGUAAGGUUAGGGGGCAGACUCACUUGUUUUUUCCAUGUCUGGAGUCAGGUUACAAACGACUCUUGGAUACUAGACACGGUUCUAGGUUACAAAAUAGAUUUUAUAUCAUUCCCCGUCCAAAGAAACAUGCCUUUCCCGAUAAAAUUUUCGGCCCAAGACCAGGCCCUGGUGCAUCAAGAAAUAUUAAAUUUAUAUUCAAAAAAUGCCAUCAUACAGGUGCCCAUGAACAGCCCAGGCUUCAUAAGCAAUUUAUUCUUGGUGAAAAAGAAAGAUUCUGG